rnacentral:misc_RNA from 1 species
UUCAUCUUCCCUUUGUCCCUUUCUAUCCCUAAGAGCUCUUCUUCUUCCUGACCAUUUUCGAUGUAUUCAACAUUUCUAAUCUGAAUUCUUCCGUGGUUCCCUUCUAAAAAAUAUCUAUAGAAGAAUCUUCUUAGAAAUGCUGUGACCAUAGCAUCCCAAGUAGGAAUGGUUUUAUGGCGUUAGCCAUGCAUGUAAGAGCAGCACCUGUCAAUGAUAAUGGAAAUUGACGAAGGCACAAAGCCUCACUUCUGGCUCUAUCUCCACAUCUUUGAAGGAAGAGUACCAAAUGUUCG